CCAAUAGCGUAUAUUAAGGUUGCUGCGGUUAAAAAGCUCGUAGUUGAAUUUCGGGAUUGAUGCAUCGGUCGUGCCUUAAGGGGUAUGAACUGGUGUGGUCAAUUUCUUACCUUCUGGUGAAUUGUGAUGUCCUCCUUAAUUGGGUGUUUCAAUGAACUAGGACUUUUUACUUUGAAAAAAUUAGAGUGUUUAAAGCAGGCAUUAUUUGCUUGAAUACAUUAGCAUGGAAUAAUAAAAUAGGACAAUGAUUCUAUUUUGUUGGUUUCUAGUAUCACUGUAAUGAUUAAUAGGGAUAGUUGGGGGCAUUAGUAUUCAAUUGUCAGAGGUGAAAUUCUUGGAUCAAUUGAAGACUAACUACUGCGAAAGCAUUUGCCAAGGAUAUUUUCAUUAAUCAAGAACGAAAGUUAGGGGAUCGAAGACGAUUAGGUACGUCGUAGUCUUAACCAUAAACUAUGCCGACUAGGAAUCAGACAACGUUAAAUUUUUAAUGACUUGUUUGGCACCUUACG
rnacentral:rRNA from 1 species